UUGGAGAAGUCCAUACGCUGGAAUUGAUUGCAGCGCGGGCCAUGAGUGCAAGGUCGUGCGGGAGCUGGGGCGUGAGUGUUGAGGUGGAGCCCAUGCGUGAAGGAUUGUGCAGAUUGGGCCGUCCGAGUCCAUGGGCUGCUAUGUGCGGACCCAAGUGUCCUUUUGCUGCCCAAUUAUUUUUUUUUUGGCUCUAAAUAAGGCAGUUUUAGGGGGUUUUUCUCCAAAUUGUCCUUUUACACCAUUUUCUGCAAAAUAAUAUUAAAAGCAAUAAAUUAAGCAGAAAUCAUGUAAAUAUUUAUCAAUAAUAUUAAUAUAAAAUGGACUAAAUUAUA
rnacentral:lncRNA from 1 species